GUGAUUGCAACUGGAGUAUUGAAUUUUGUGAGAAAUAAGUACAAAUUAGAAUCUUAUGUCAGUCCCAUCCCCAAUCUUUUAAAAGUUGUUAUGUGUUCAUUAAACUUUAAUAAGUGUUUCAAUGCUGUGCUUAUAUUAUCCCAACAUUACUAUCUUGGAUGGAUGAUGCACACUAUAUUCAUACCUUCAUUCCAUGUUGGUUAUGCCACAUCAUCUCUAUCAUCUCUCUUUUUUCAUCAUCAAAAAGAGGGGGAAAAGGUGCCAUUUACUCUCUGUUUUUCUCCCCCUUUU
rnacentral:misc_RNA from 1 species